rnacentral:rRNA from 1 species
AGAGUUUGAUCAUGGCUCAGAUUGAACGCUGGCGGCAGGCUUAACACAUGCAAGUCGAACGGUAACAGGAAGGAAGCUUGCUUUCUUUGCUGACGAGUGGCGGACGGGUGAGUAAUGCUUGGGAAUCUGGCUUAUGGAGGGGGAUAACUACGGGAAACUGUAGCUAAUACCGCGUAAUAUCUUCGGAUUAAAGGGUGGGACCGUAAGGCCACCUGCCAUAAGAUGAGCCCAAGUGGGAUUAGGUAGUUGGUGGGGUAAAGGCCUACCAAGCCGACGAUCUCUAGCUGGUCUGAGAGGAUGACCAGCCACACUGGAACUGAGACACGGUCCAGACUCCUACGGGAGGCAGCAGUGGGGAAUAUUGCACAAUGGGGGGAACCCUGAUGCGGCCAUGCCGUGUGAAUGAAGAAGGCCUUCGGGUUGUAAAGUUCUUUCGGUGAUGAGGAAGGCGGUUGUUUUAAUAGAACAAUCGAUUGACGUUAGUCACAGAAGAAGCACCGGCUAACUCCGUGCCAGCAGCCGCGGUAAUACGGAGGGUGCGAGCGUUAAUCGGAAUGACUGGGCGUAAAGGGCACGCAGGCGGUGACUUAAGUGAGAUGUGAAAGCCCCGGGCUUAACCUGGGAAUUGCAUUUCAUACUGGGUCGCUAGAGUAUUUUAGGGAGGGGUAGAAUUCCACGUGUAGCGGUGAAAUGCGUAGAGAUGUGGAGGAAUACCGAAGGCGAAGGCAGCCCCCUGGGAAUAUACUGACGCUCAUGUGCGAAAGCGUGGGGAGCAAACAGGAUUAGAUACCCUGGUAGUCCACGCUGUAAACGCCGUCGAUUUGGGGAUUGGGCUUUAAGCUUGGUGCCCGUAGCU